rnacentral:lncRNA from 1 species
AAUGAGUUCAACCACAAUUCUCAAAAGCUUCACGCACUCUUGAUCAAGACAGUGUGAAGCAAAACCAAUUUAUGGUGCCAACAAAAGCUUCAUCAAAGAAGUUCAACCACAAUUCUCAAAAGCUUCACACUCUUGAUCAAGACAGUGUGAAGCAAAACCAAUUUAUGGUGCCAACAAGAGCUUCAUCAAUGGAGGGCAACCACAAUUCUCAAAAGCUUCACACACUCUUGAUCAAAACAGAGUGAAGCAAAACCAAUUAAUGAAGGGCAACCACAAUUCUCAAAAGCUUCACACACUCUUGAUCAAGACAGUGUGAAGCAAAACUAAUUUAUGGUGCCAACAAAAGCUUUAUCAAAGAAGUUCAACCACAAUUCUCAAAAGCUUCACACACUCUUGUUCAAGACAGUGUGAAGCAAAACCAAUUUAUGGUGCCAACAAAAGCUUCAUCAAUGGAGGGUAACUACAAUUAUCAAACCUUCAAAGCAAAUUCAAGAUUGUUCGAAGCAAAUUCAAUUUAUAUGGUUCAUCCAAACCUUCGACUACUACAAGGUGUGGCUUGCAUCACAAUCUCUCACUCAACAGUGUGGAAGCAAAAUUUGUAUAUGUUGUCUCUCCCACAUUUUCAAAUUUCUAGUUUCCUAAAAAAAAAAAAAAAAAAAAAAGAAAGGAAAUUCAACAAAGCUUCAUCAAUGGAUGACAACUACAAAUUCUCAAAAGCUUCACACUAUCUUGAUCAAGAUAGUAUGAAACAAAAUCAAUUCGUGGUACCUAACAAAGCUUCACCACAAAAGCUUCAUCAAUGGAGGACAACUACAAAUUCUCAAAAGCUUCACACUAUCUUGAUCAAGAUAGUGUGAAGCAAAAUCAAUUCAUGGUACUUAACAAAACCUUCAACUCCAAAGCUUCACCAACAAAAGCUUCAUCAAUGAAGGACAAUUACAAAUUCUCAAAAGCUUCACACUAUCUUGAUCAAGAUAGUGUGAAUCUAAAUCAAUUUGUGGUACCCAACAAAGCUUCACCACAAAAGCUUCACCAACAAAAGCUUCAUCAAUGGAGGACAACUACAAAUUCUCAAAAGCUUUACACUAUCUUGAUCAAGAUAGUGUGAAGCAAAAUCAAUUCAUGGUACCCAACAAAAGCUUCAACUCCAAAGCUUCACCUACAAAGCUUCAACUCCAAAGCUUCACCCAUAAAAGCUUCACCUCCAAAGCUUCACAUAUAAAGCUUCAACUCCAAAACUUCACCUACAAAAGCUUCAUCCACAAUAACUUCACCUACAAAAGCUUCACCCACAAAAGCUUCACCCACAAAAGCUUCCCCCACCA